rnacentral:misc_RNA from 1 species
AAGUCGUAACAAGGUUUCCGUAGGUGAACCUGCGGAAGGAUCAUUAACACGUAUCCACGUAAACCCAUGUGCAGGAUGCCUGUGUGCGAUCUUAGUCAAUGGUGCUAGCGGAGAAAUGGCGGUGACCACCUUACGGGGUGCACUCUUCUAGCUGGACCUUGUACUUACUGCUUCGGCAGUUUGCGCAAGAGAUCCACACCACUUUGACUGAGCAUGCAUGCGUCGCCGUCGAUUAUUUUUUUUUUACGCCUUGUAAAUAAACUGUUCUAAACUAAUAAACAAUGACUAUGGCUUUUCUUCGGAAAGGUUCAGUGUCUUGUUUCUUACUAAAUUUUAUACAAUCCUUAGCAACGGAUAUCUUGGUUCUC